CGGUGACUAGGCGCCCAGCACAGCGGUUUUGCGUAGCUCUGUAGCCAGCCCAGCGCAGCCGUUGCCCUGUCCUCGCUGGACCGCCCCCCUCGACGAUCGUCCCCGUCGACCGCAUCCUUCCCCAUCGCAUCCACGCCGAGGUAAACUCGCCCCCACCCUCCUUAUUCCCCCACUUCCCCAGUCGAGACCUCGCCGUGUGCGGCCCAGUCGUGGCCAUCGCGGCUCGCCUGAGCGCGACCAAGUGUGCCCUGCGGCCCUAGCGUGCGGCGCCGGCCAACCGUCGCGAUAGCCUCCCCCUCCACGCACCAUCGAUCCCAGCCCGCUGCCGCUUGCUAGCAUGUGUCGUCCGACUGCGAGCAGCCAUGUUGCUAGCCCCACUCCCCGCAAGCCACCUCGCUGCGCCUAGCCACGCUGCCCCUGCACGAUGUCGAGCAGCCCCGCGAGCCCUCGUUCGGCGAGCAGGAUCGCCAUCGCCUAGCCCGGCCGCCGGUGAUCUCCAACGCACCCUGCGCUCGUGCUGGCCGGCGAGCCGCUCUGAGGACGAAGGCCUGGCAUGGCCGAGGAGGGCCACUGCCGAAGCCCCUGUGGCUCCCCUGCCACCCACGCACCAGUGCAGCCCGCGCUAUCGGCUAGAGCCUCGUCACGCUUCGUCGACCCGCCUCGCCGCCCGCCGUUGUCGCAAGGUGAGCUUCGUCUUCCCCUUGCGCGCAACCCCGUCACACCCUCGCUGUCGCAUCAUUCGCGUCGCGCAGCACGUCUGUUUUACGCGCAAUUCACGGGGUGUCGCACAUGUCAUCAUGCGUCGUCCGCAUGCUGCCCGUGCGCGUCGUCGUUCGCGUAAAUCGUUGUUUGCGCGCUUUAGUAAAAUCAUUUCGCUAUAUCGUUCACAUUAAAUAAUUGAUUACUUGUUUAGUUGUGUAUUAUUAAAAUAACAAUUCAAUCGAACCCAAUUAAUGAUUUUAAUGAUGCGUUUGUAGAUACCUGUUAGUGUGUGUACGCCAACUUAAAUGUUGUGUUUAACGCGUAGUUAGGAUGAAUACGACAUAAUUUAGCAGUACUCGUGUAUCACGUUGUUUAUAAGUUUAUUAUAGGUUUAAAUGUAUUAAGUCUCAUGCGGCAUAACUCGUUCGGUCACGUCAACUCUAGCGGCGUCAAUUUUAUAUUAGGAACAUUGUUUGAUAGCGACACAUGUUUUUUUUAAAUUAAUAAAUUAAUUAUUUACCUAUUAGUUAUUAAAAUAACUAAUUUUUUAUUUUAACUUACGCUUUAUAAAUAUAUGAUAGUGUGAUUAAUGACUACACAAAUGUCUUAAAUUUAAUACUUGUCUAGUAUAGAGGCGACAUCUAUGUAGUAGUUCUCGUUUACGCGUCAGCGUGCUAUUCGCGCGCGUAGUCGCGUUGACUCGCGUGUGUCGCACGCUGUUGUGCGCGUUAUUUCGCGUACGCGCAGCGUGUUGUCGGGGUCCCGACGACAUCCGUCUACCCCCUAGACGACUCCCGUCUACCCCCCCUCCUACCUCGUCUAUUCCCCGGCGCUAAUUAAUUUCCUAUUUAAUUGUCGGUCAAUCGGACUAAAAUUAUGAUUUUAGUUAGGCGAUUGUAAAUAUGUGAUGAUGUGAUUUUAACAACUCAGAUGUGGUAUUUAAUACCUAUUUAGUGUUUAGUAUAAAUGUGUCACCUAUUUAGUUUUCCUCGCCUCUCGCGCGUGUCGUUCCGUACGCGGUGGCGUGCUCGUUCGCUCGUCGUUCGCUCUAGUCGCGCGUACUAUCUAGUGCGUUGUUUUGCGCGUUGUCCGCAUGCUAAGCUAUGCGUGUCCGCGCAUCGUUUGCACGUUAUCGUGUUGUUCACGGCUUCACACGUCGUAAAUUCGUCUCGCUUAGAAUUCCUCGUUUUAAUUAAAAUUACUUAAUUAACUGACAUUUGUUAGUGCAGCAGGCUAAUCGAAACUAAAAGUUAGAUAUUAUUUAUAUUUGAUAGGAUAAUGUCAAUUCAUGUAAUUAUAAUUAUGUCGAACUAAUAUUCUAAUUAAUACUUGCUUAGUGUAAAACACGUUAGCUUUUCGACUGUGGUCUCGACCAUGGUGUUUCUUUUUCCUCGCGUGACCGUGGUAACACGCUCUAAUUCGUUUUGUAUGUUUUAUUACGUUGGUAUUUGUAUGGUGUAAUGUUCUUAUACAUAUAUGUGUUUGCUUGCUUGUGUCUAUUUGUCUUCGCUUCGCGUUGCGAUUAGAGUGCGAUCCAUCUCCAAGCUUCGAGGGAUCGAAGAUCAAGCGUUGGCGGCCAAGUGAUCAAGCUCUCUGAGUUCUAGAAGGUUGAAGACCCUGAGCAUCUGUUUGGUGAAGGCAAGUGUCCUUUGACCUAUUAUGUCCCAUUUACUUUAUAAUUCAUCAACCCGCAUAUCAUGAUCAACCUAAGGAUUGACUAGCUUUGUAUUUACCUUGUCCUUGCUUACCUUUUGGGUUAUUAUGGUUAGCAUUUUGCUAUUGCCUUAACUUAAUCAAUGAACAUGAUGUGACUAUUUAUGAUACUGUUAUCUUGAUUAUACUGUUGAUCUUGUGAUACUCUAGGGGGCUCAGGCUGUUUCCUGAGUACCUCUCCGUAAGGACCUGUUCGUUGAGAGACCACCCGGGAUAACAGUGCAACCAUGAGGGUGGAAUGGGGUGCCCUUAGCUAAUUAAUUAGAGGAACUAGAAGUGUAGUUGCUUCGCCGUCGUGCCGUCAAUGGGGUCCAGGCACAGUGCUUGCUCUGCCGAGGCUGAGUGCCGAGGUUCUUUCGUUUUGUCUUUUUUAGUCACCCUCCUGCGGGGAGAGGUACUGUGUUUAUCAAACUGGAGAAACCUAACGGGCAGCUAUGACCUCUAGGGAAUCUUUGUAAAGGCUUCGUAGCGAAUCCCUGGCCAUUCACCUUGGGAGUGAAUAAGGGCCUUGCAAGCCCGGGCUAGAGAGGGAAUCACGGCUCAUGGGUAAUGAAACUGAUAUAUCAGCCGUGCUCACGGUUAAGAGCAGCCUUGGGAUCCUCUUUGAUUAGAGAUACAUAUGAUCCGAGAUACAAUGGUUAUGUUUAUGGUUUUUGUUCGACUAUGAUGCUGAUGUUCCUCGAUGAGGAAAUGGUUCACAGGUUUGUUAUUACUAAAAUUUGGCUUCCACUGAUAAUAAAUACCUGACCAACUAAAAGCAACUGCUUGAGCUUAACCCCACAUAAAGCUAGUCCACCUCAGCCAAACGGGACAUUUGCUGAGUACGUUGAUGUGUACUCACCCUUGCUUUCACAAAACACCAGGUUGCCUUUGGUGCAAUCUAUGUUCAGGUAAAGAAGAAGGCGUCGAGGCGGAUCUCUAGGAGUUCCGGGACUUCGACGAGUUCGAGGAUUAGGCUAGCGACCACCCCCAGUCAGCUGCCUGUGGUGGGUUUAUUUACGUUGGCUACGUUUCUAUUCUGUGUACUUUGAUUAUAUUAUGUAAAUGACUCUAGUCUUUU
rnacentral:lncRNA from 1 species